CUUAUGGGAAAUAUCAGCCAUGUUGAGUUUCUUAUCCACCAUCAUUUCUCUGUUUAACUCUAUGCGAAGCAACCACGGAGAGAUCUUGUCGGGGUCAACAUCAUCAUCUGGCAUCUCAAAGUAGGACGUCACAAAUUCAACAUCUUCCUCAAUAAUAGUGCUCUUAGGAUCUGGAUCGUACCAUACCUCUGUUGCUUGUGUUACACUCCGCAAGGUUGUAUACUCCAGAGCGCACUGGACAUUUUUGGCCUUCUCCUUAGUUUUGCUUACACCAGGCUUCAAGUAUACCGAGAGNAGGUAAUCUGUUUCUGCAUACACAGCAGCAUCAAGAAGAAUGUCCACUGUUCUCAAAGGAGCAUCUCAUCAUGGGGCCAGUAUCGUUGCGAUUGAUACCAUGACGGGUGAUGGCCAUCAAGUGACCACGAUAUGUCAUGGUAUCACACAAUAUAGCCAAAAUGUCUAUAGUUCACGUAAGACCCAUCAAAUGAUAUGACAACACGCAACUCAUCCAGCAAGGCUUUGCGAACUGCCUCAAUGCCAAGAACUUCAAUAACUUCAAUCAAAUGAUUGCUUGUUGUCCUACUUGCAUCUACAUCUUCAUGGCAAAUUACAGCUAAAAGAUUAACACCUUCGGUGUCAAGCAUCCACUCAUUCUCAGCCUUGAAGCCUUCAUUUUCAUCAAACUUAUUUACCUUGCCAUUCUUUAUGAACACCUUAUUGAUAUCUGGUAUGCCUCGAAGAGCCAUUUCUGUAAGCAUGUUACCCUCUAAUCUUUUUGUAGGAAGACAUCAUCCUCAGCAGAUUCAUCAUUCAACUCACCUUUAGGGGCUUCAUCAUUCAUAAUACGAAUACGAAGGAUAAGCUUUUCAGCAUUAUCAUCAUUAAAUAUGCACGUUAGAUCACUAUCAAAUUCAGCAUUAAUCUUAUGGGAAAUAUCAGCCAUGUUGAGUUUCUUAUCCACCAUCAUUUCUCUGUUUAACUCUAUGCGAAGCAACCACGGAGAGAUCUUGUCGGGGUCAACAUCAUCAUCUGGCAUCUCAAAGUAGGACGUCACAAAUUCAACAUCUUCCUCAAUAAUAGUGCUCUUAGGAUCUGGAUCGUACCAUACCUCUGUUGCUUGUGUUACACUCCGCAAGGUUGUAUACUCCAGAGCGCACUGGACAUUUUUGGCCUUCUCCUUAGUUUUGCUUACACCAGGCUUCAAGUAUACCGAGAGAGAGGGUGUUUUAAUUUUCUUAGCAACAUUAAUAAUCUCCCUCAACCUUGGAACACCUAAAGUUAACAAUUCUUGGCACUCACACCAGCAUAGUGAAAUGUAUUGAGGGUCAUCUGUGUAGCAGGUUCACCAAUGGAUUGUGCAGCAACACAUCCUAUCAUUUCACCAGCAGCAACAAGUGACUGAAGAAAACGGGAUUCUAUCUCGCCAACUACCCAGUCAAAAGCCUCACGGGUAAGUCUGUACUCCUUCAGGACCCUUUUACUUGCUAAAGCACUACGAAGCAAUAUAUUGAAGAAAAGAGUAGCAUUCUUCUGUGCUUCCAAACUCAGAUAAUCAUCACCAACAACCACCUUAAGCCUUUCUUGUAACUUAUCAACAGCUUCUACAAUCUCCAUUGGAUGCAUAUCAGACGGUCUCCGAAAAUCAACUCUAAAGGUCUUCUGUGCAUUCAAAACAAGCCUCUUGAUGUUGACAGGGAGGGGCCAAGAAUUGUCACCCGUGGUGGCAAUCUCUGUUCCAAGUUGAUACCUAUCGGCUUCAAGUUUCUGAACCUCUGCAUCAAACACACUGCGGAUUUCACGAAUCGUUUUCAGAUCUUCCACAGCUUCAGGUAACAUAUAAUUAGGAUUCCAGUUUGGGUGAUCAAUCUCAUAUUUGUACAUGUCAUUGAAAUCCGAUCUCUUCAACUUCAGUGAUUCCAAAGGCUGUGAUUCAAUCCAAACUGCAUCCAUACCAUCUUCCCCGUACAGAAACUGAAUCACAUCACCUAACGAAUUCCUAACAGUCCCAUCAUACUUAACCAUGAUAUCUUCCAUAGCCUUCACCAAUCGCCUCUGAAUAUAUCCAGUCUCAGAAGUUUUCACUGCAGUGUCAAUAAGACCUUCCCUACCACCCAUGGCAUGGAAAAAGAACUCUUGAGGAGACAAUCCUCGAAGAUAUGAGUUCUCCACAAAACCACGACUCUCUGGACCAUAAUCAUCUUUGGUGAAGUGUGGAAGUGUGCGAUCCACAAAACCAAAAGGAAUUCGCUUGCCUUCAACAUUCUGCUGACCCACACAUGCAGUCAUCUGAGAAAUAUUGAUGAAACUUCCCUUAGACCCUGCAGUGACCAUAGCUUUGAGGUUGUUACUUUCUGCCAAGCUCUUCUGAGCACUGCUUCCAGCAUCAUCACGAGCCUUAUUCAACACCUGAAGGCACAAAACAUAUAUAAGGGAAUCACCAGGCUGCAGCAAGGAAAUCAAAAUUUUUAACAAACCUGGUUAACUCUGUUCUCGAACGAUUCCAUCAUUGUUCUUCCUGGCUCAGCUUCCAAUUGCUUUUCUUGUGCAGCCCUGAUAAGUUCAUUCACCUCAUUCUUAGCUUUGUUAAUAGUUUCAGAGAUCUUCGUCAUUGUAUCAUGAUCAGCAAUUGUAUCUCCAAUUCCCAUGCUAAAAGCGUUCUGCAAAAGCCAAUAAUUGACCAGCCAUUGUGUAUGUCCCAAAAAUUUCCGAGCUGCAUCUGGACCGACUUCUUCCCUGAGACCAGUAUACAUUAUAUUAAACACAUAAAUAUGAAUAAAGAAUCUUUCGGGCUUUCAGUUCAUUAUUAUAAUAUUUAUUACUCCUUGUUUCAUGUGCCAUAUCAUAUGUUUUGAUGUCACAAAUGCUAUAAUAUUCACACAGAAGAGCUACUAGAGUGGAGGAAGACUGAUAUAUGCAAAAGCUAAAUUGUUAAAGAGUACAGAAAUUUUCAAUAAGAUACUCAUGUAGUUUUAAACUUCUGAAGAAAAUUAAUCUUCUCUUCUACAAAUUCCGAUGGAGUAAGCAAAGGAACACUUUCUUGAAAUGGCAUUAGUUUUAUUGAUAUCUAUAAUGAGUGCAAGCAUGGAGAUUGAUAAAGUGUUUUGUCUGCAAAGAAACAGUACCCAUUUUUUUGUGCCAAAAGGAGAAUCUUUUUGCUAGUGAAAAGAGAGGGUAUUUCAUUGGUAACUCAAGCAAGUUCUUUUGAAAGUAUUACUUCUUCAAUCAACAUAUUGCGAGUUCUGACUCAUUUGCGAGAUCCUAGAAUAUAUAAAUAAAAGACACCAACUUCAUUUAAAGUAUUUGCAUACAUAUGCUCCCAAUCCCCAUUGCCCAUAGAGCAAUGGACCAAUUUAAUACAACAUGAAUUCUUCAGAAGAUAAAAGUGAAAGUCAUGCUUUUGCUCUUAAAUUUAAGGUUGAACGAAAAAUGUGACCCGCAAACAGCCCCAUACCUCCAUUUUACCCAACUUUCCACUUAUUACAUUUUGCUACUAGAUACUUCAGGUAUGUUACCCGCAAUCAGCCCCAAUUCAUAAUAUGGAUAAGUUGGGUGGGCGUUUAGGAGACAAUAGUUUCCUUUCAAAACCCACCAAAUGCAGAAAUGGUACUGCAAAAAUUCCAGAAAGAACGUACCAAAUAACAUGUAUGAGACUUCCACUAGAUGACCCGAGUGUUUUCUUGCAUAGGGUGCCUGAAAGUAACUCCCCUUUUUCUAUCCGUACUUGAGUAUCCCCAGGAGUAAUAAAUCCUUUUUCAGUUUCUUGAUGCCAUGAAGAAUACCUUAAUAGAUUUAUCUGUCUUGGAAUGAUUAAAUUAAAUACUUGUUUCCCAGUCCAAAGAGGCUUAGGUUUCAGAAUUGUUGGAGCAGGUACUUUGCCAUCAAAAUCCUCCCACCACAUAAGGAUGUUCAUAAAAACAUCCUGCGAACAAUACAGACAGCGAUAUCAGAUUGAAUGUGGACACUUACCUAAAAAUUACAUAAUGAUGACAGAAAAUCAAAUGUUACCUUGUCAAUAAAAGUAUCUCUCUUAGUGAUUUUGCGACAUCCUAGUAGUGUAUCCUGCACAAUACCCAUUACAGGUCGAUUUGAUUGAGGUGACACGAUGCAUUUUGGAACCAUCAUUAAUUCCAGAACUUCGGCUCUAGUUUCAAAUGACUGGGGCACGUGCAUAUUCAUUUCAUCUCCAUCAAAAUCAGCAUUGUAGGGUGAGGUAACAGACAGAUUUAAGCGGAAUGUUGAAUAUGGCAUAAUCUUGAUUCUGUGGCCCAUAAUGGACAUCUUAUGGAGACUCGGUUGCCGAUUGAACAGGACAAAGUCUCCAUCAUUUAAAUGUCUCUCAACCUGUACCAUCAAAUAAUAGGAAUCAGGUGUCAAAAGGAAUCCAAUGCUUGAUCAUUCUCAAUUAUAUAGCUGGGAGUCUCACCUUAUAUCCAAGUUCUAGAUGCUGAUCACUACUCUUUUUCAAGUACCGGAGAUCAAGCCUCUGUCCAUCAUCCCUAAUAAUAUAUUUUGCGCCAGUUUUACCAGGAGGGGGAUGAGGUCCAUAUUCCACAAGCUCUUUCAAUCUAUUUUCAAGGUCAAUAUCUGGUUAACAAGAAUAACCAAAAAGUAUAGAGGGAUCACUAUCAAGAAAUAUGGUAAGAGUGCCUAACCUUUCGAUGUUAUAUGGAGUUACAGUUUCAGGAUAUGUAAGAUUUAAGGCAAUACUCCAAGGCACACCCAGCUGGUCGAUGUUGAUUGUUGGGUCAGGUGUAAUCACAGUCCGAGCCGAAAAAUCUACUCGCUUACCCAUCAAGUUACCUCUGAUCCUACCAUCUUUUGCCUUAAGCCUGCUACAUAUUGAUUUAAUGGGUCUGCCAGAUCUUUGGGUAGCCUGAUGUAUACAAGGAUACUUCACUUGUUAGAUAAAUGAUGUUCCAGGAACUGCAUCCACAGUCUCAAUAUACUGAAAUAAUAUAACAUACUCUUGGUUGACCAGGUAAAUCGUUAUCAAAGUAUGUAGCCACAUGGAACUGCAGCAACUGUGCAAACUCAGAGAUGAUGUGUGCAGGAGCCCCAUUCCGCUCCUGCCUCUUUAAGUUCUCAUUAUGCCUAAUGAUCAUGGCCAGUUGAUGAGUUAAAUCAUCCUGCAUAAAUUGAUUCAAUUAUUAGAUUCUCCUGCAACUUAAAAGCAGCAAUCCGAGGAACAUGCAAUUGAUUGACUUGAUCAGUUUGCAGUGAACAGAACCCGAUACACUUAUCUGACCUAAAGGAACAAUUAGGGGUAAUCUAAACACCCAUGACAUUGUAGAGAUCAAAAGGAGAAGUCAUGCCUCACUCCGAGAAGAAGUAUCCAUCAUUACAGAAGGCCUAACUGGAGGAGGAGGGAUUGGAAGAACUUGAAGAAUCAUCCAGUCAGGGCGAGCAUAUUUUGGAUUCAAGCCCAACAACUGACAAUCUUCAUCAGUAAUUCUCUUCAGUAUGCUGAGCACCUGAAACAAAAAGGAAAUAGAGAUUGUUGGGAUUAGCGCAUAAAUCAAUCUAUCACAUUAUCCAGGCUGGAAAAAAAAGUUUGAAUCCCUAUUCUCUGGCAAUUUAUGAUAUAUGAUACCUUCUCUGCAGAGAGAAGUUGUUUUCGUUCAACAGGUUCAGGCAUCUGGUCCUGGUCAUCACUUUUCUUCUUCUGAAUCUUGUAUUCAGCAACCAUUUUCAUCCCAUCUAUAGAAAUCUUUGGCUGCUGAGCACCGCAUCCACCCCUAGACUUCUUCACAGGUUCUUCCGAAUCUUGACCUCGCACAUCGAUCUCAUCACCUCCUUCACAUUUGGAUUUGUUUUUGCAGGCAUCUAAUAUCUUCUUUAAUCUAUUCUUAGGGUUUCUAAUUCUCAUUGCUUGCUUGAACUUGGGAUCGUCCUAGAAAAAUUAACAAGGGAUCAAAAUACAUUGCAAAAGAAAACGAUUGUUCCAACUUCCAAGUAACUUUAUUUCCAUUUGAAGUAUAAUAUUCAGGCAAUAAUGAAAAUAACUAACUUUUACAACAGCAACACUCCUAGGAGAUGCAUCCAGAUGAUGAAAUACCUCAAACUGCUUCUAUCUUACCAAUAUGCAUUUCUAUAAAAGUAACACAAUUAUUGAAGACAUAACAGAACCUAGAAGCCUAAAACUGGAUCGUUGCUAGUCAUAAGUCUUACUAUCCAGUCACUCUUGCAAGUAAUAAGAAUGUUACAAUUAAAUCAGUUGCCCAGUUCAGGAUGGUCAUGAAUAAGACAGAAGUCUGACCCUCCUAGUAUACGAACAUAUACAUGAAAUAAGCAUUUUCCGUGAAUCCAGCAUAUGUUAUACACUUCUGAAAAAUUCAGUCUGCUACUCAGGCCUCACAACAGCGGAAUCAAUAGUCAUACCCAAUAUGAACCAAGUGAGCAUGACUGUACAAAUUCAUACUACUUAAACCGAAAACGUCCAUAACUUCAAUCUAACUACUCGGGAAAUGUACAAUACCUCAUCCGCUAAAAUCUUAGAGCAAUUGAAGCAGACACUGCGGAGAAUACUGAGCACAGUCUUCAUGAAGCCAAUGUGAAACAUAGGUUUGGCGAGCUCAAGGUGACCGAAGUGACCGGGGCAGUCAGCCAUGUUCGCCAUACAAGUCUCGCACUUCAUCUUCCGAUCAAUCGUCCCCAGACGCGGGUCGCUCAAACCACCGAUCUUCGGCUUGCCUCUUUCCGUCGUCUCGCUGUGCUCUAUAUGCACAACAGACAUUUGUCUCUACAAAACACACCAUAAAACAAUAGACCAUCAUUUCCAACUCAAUCACACACUCAAUGCCGAAACUGAAAGUUCAAAACAUUCAAAGAAGUGAGAAUUACGAUCUCAUCGGGGCUGAGAAUGCCGAAUUGGACGACGCGGACUUUCGCGACCUCUGCCGGCGAGAAGGGGAACCGCAGAUCCAUUGCGACACCGGAGAUUCUACCCUAGGGUUUUCGAUUAUGAUUUAUUAUGCUAGCUGAUAUAUAAUAAUUCCAAAAUUAGAAACAAAUAUGGUUUUCAAGUACUUCAAAUUAUUCGCGGUUUCUGUUAAGUAACUGAUUUUUGGGGUUUUUGAAGAAAACUUUUUUCACGCUGCGCUCUUCUCUGAAGGAGGAGAGGCGGCUUUGAGACCAAAGAAGAGAAUGAGGGGUUGAAGGGGUAUUUAAAGAGAUGGAUGGCUUCGAAGUCGGCGCUUAAUGGGGUUGUUUGGCUACACAGUUAUGAGCUGGACAUCUUCCUCUCGUUUGGUCCAUCUAUUAAAAAAUCUUCUUAAUCUAUUUUUAAACAUAAUUUCAUCAACUAUUAUCCUUAUAAUUUUCAUUUUUUGUAAGACUCAUUUUUCACUUAUCAAGUAUACAAUUAAUUUUUAUUAAAAUUCAUGUCACCCUCCUUUAUAAAGAUCUUUGAGAAAUGAAGGGAGUGUUAAUUCCAAAUAUUUGGUAAAAUAAGUACAUAAAUACUCAUUUCGUCCCAACUUUUAGUAUCAAUUUAAGAAUGACACGUGUUUUAAUAAAGUUGUUAAGUGUGUUGUGAGUGGAAUAAGGGUCUCGCAUUUUACGUGAAUGUUAAAAUAAUUAAAGUGGAGUAAGGGUCUCACCUACUUUUACUAAAAAUAAAAAUGAAUAUCAAAAUAUGGAACGGCCAAAAAAGGAAAUAUGAAUACUAAAAGUUGGGACGAAGAUAGUAGUUUACAAGCUCUACAAAUAAGUUUCUACAAUUUAUAAGCUUUUCAAACUACAAACUUUUUACCAUAAAUUACUUUUUCAUAAUUUUAUACUUCCUUCAUCCCAAUUCNCUUAUAAUUUUUCAUUUUUUUGUAAGACUCAUUUUUUCACUUAUCAAGUAUACAAUUAAUUUUUAUUAAAAUUCAUGUCACCCUCCUUUAUAAAGAUCUUUGAGAAAUGAAGGGAGUGUUAAUUCCAAAUAUUUGGUAAAAUAAGUACAUAAAUACUCAUUUCGUCCCAACUUUUAGUAUCAAUUUAAGAAUGACACGUGUUUUAAUAAAGUUGUUAAGUGUGUUGUGAGUGGAAUAAGGGUCUCGCAUUUUACGUGAAUGUUAAAAUAAUUAAAGUGGAGUAAGGGUCUCACCUACUUUUACUAAAAAUAAAAAUGAAUAUCAAAAUAUGGAACGGCCAAAAAAGGAAAUAUGAAUACUAAAAGUUGGGACGAAGAUAGUAGUUUACAAGCUCUACAAAUAAGUUUCUACAAUUUAUAAGCUUUUCAAACUACAAACUUUUUACCAUAAAUUACUUUUUCAUAAUUUUAUACUUCCUUCAUCCCAAUUCAAUAGGCCACAAGACAAGGCUUGGACAUGGAUAUUAAGAAGCGAAUAGUUUAUAAUAAAAUACGAGAGAGAAAGUAGCUUUUUUUAGAGUAAAUUUGUGAAAAAAGUAGGAGAGAGUAGAGAUAAUUUUGUGGGAUCACAAUGAUAUUUGAUGUACAUAAUGAGUUGUGCGAAGGUGUUUGUUAUAUACUAUGAUUUUUUAUUUUAGGAAGUGACCUAUUGAAUUGGAACGUCCAAAUAAGGAUUCAUGACAUAUUUAAAUGGAACUGAGGGAGUAAUAUAUUUUACAAAAAUUAUUCAAUUAUACUUUAUUACUAUUUUCAUCAUAUACACUUUAAACCACUUUGCAAAAAUUAACUCAAUCAUAUAAAUACUUUCACAACUUAUAAGCUCUUACAAAAAUACAUUUUUAAAAUUUUUGAAACAUUUUAUAAAUUGCUACAAUUAUAAAUUUCUUAAAAUAAGCUUAUCCAAACAUCCCCUUAAUUCUACAACAAAAUUUUAACAAAUGGAGUAUAAAUGAGCUAUGAUUGGUAACAUAUUUUUCCUACAAAAAUAAUAAGCGAUAGGUAACAUAACUAGCGUGGGAACUAAGAAUCAAUCUGGUCUAUUAAUUUGAUUAAAUGAUCAUGAUUGAUUUCCAUAUUGAACAAUACAUAUAUAUGAUAAUGCAUCAGUUUAUGCCAGAAAUUAUGCCAUGCUGAUAAAUAAUACUCCAUUCGUCCCAAACGAAAUGUCCUAUUUCUUUUCGGUACGGAAAUUAAGAAAUGUGUAUAAAAUAGAUUAAGUGGGUUGGUGAAAAUUAUUUAAAUAUUAAGUAUAGAGAGAGAGUGUAGUGCCAAAAAAGGAAACAUGACAUUUCGUUUGAGAUAGCCCAAAAAGGAAAACAGUACAUUUCGUUUGGAACGGAGGGAGUAUAGUGCAUACUUAUAAUAAACAACGUAGUUUUAAGUGUGGUGCCCACUUCGGGGGAGCUUGUUGGAUUUAUAAUAAACGACGUAGUUUUCAUAUAUACAAAAAAUCCUCUUCCAUUGAGAUGGUUUCUUACAUUCUUGGCUUCAGCUGCGCAUGGCUUAUCUAUGCAUGCAUUAUUUUAGUUAUAAGCAAUUUAGUAAAUAAAAUAACAAAAUGGAUGGAUUAACAUUGCCACAAAACAUGAUGACACUAUUAGUAUUUUACUUCAAAGGGGAAGAAAAAAAAACUUUAUACGAAUGAAAGAAUGCCAUGUUAAACAAUCUCUCUUAGCCAAAUUGGAAAGCUAUGAGACCAAACAAAUGGACUACAAAUUAAAAAAGAGGUUAUAAAGUGACACGGGACUUAUACGCCACGUGCGGAGUUCAGCUGCCCGACUGCCGGAGUUCAGCUGCCCGACUGCCGGCCUGGUAUGAAAAUGAUUGGGUUAGGGUAGGGUGUCCCAUGCAACAAAUCCUCAUUCCACCUUCCCUUUGUCAGUUUCAUUUACCACACUAAGCCAUGUAAACAAUACCAACACAAUCACAAAAUCAGCAAAUCUAUUCGAACUCGCUUGGCCUAUGGUGAAAGCAGGAUGGAAAAGAAAGCAAAAUAAGCAAAGGUAAAUAUACCUGCUUGGACUGGAAGGAGAAAAAGAUGGUGAUGUUGGGCUGCAAAACCACAGAAAAUAAUAUGUCAAGGUAGCAUUUGAAAGAGAGUUUCACCAGUUCAGAAUAUAUCCUAGUCUUGUCGGGGAAAUAAAACAAAAAGAGUAAUACUCUAGGGAACAAUUUAUCCAGCUUCCUCUGUGGACAAUCAAGUAUAGAAACAGAGUAAUACAUUUAACCAAGGUUAUAUUUGUUAGCAAACUUGAAGAGCAAAAAUUAAAAUAAGGCUUGCCAAAAGUUACCUGAGACUCGGAGAAUAUGGACUGUACGGACUUGAAGGUGUGAUUUUUGGACUUGUAGGUGAAUAUGCUUGUGAAGGGCUAUACCUUGCUGAAGGAUUGUAACUUGGUGAGGUCAGACUGUAAGUCGGUGAGGUGGGACUGUAUCCAGGUGAAGUUGGGCUGUAGGCAGGAGAGGUAGGGCUGUAUGAAGGUGAGGUUGGGCUGUACGAUGGAGAGGUUGGGCUGUAAGAUGGUGAGGUUGGGCUGUAAGAGGGAGACGUGGGGCUGUAAGCCGGAGAAGUUGGGUUAUAAGCAGGUGAGGUUGGGCUGUAAGAGGGAGACGUGGGGCUGUAAGCCGGAGAAGUUGGGCUAUACGCAGGUGAGGUUGGGCUGUAUGCUGGAGAAGUUGGGCUGUAGCUCGGAGAUGUAGGGCUGUAGCUCGGAGAUGUGGGGCUAUAGCUAGGAGAUGUUGGGCUGUAGGAAGGAGACGUUGGUGAAUAAGAUGGGCUUGUGGGAGAAUAGGCAGGGCUUGUAGGACUAUAUCCAGGAGAACUAGGACUAUAUGUUGGGGACGUAGGGCUGUAACCAGGGGAAGUAGGACUGUACCCAGGUGAGGUGGGGCUGUAUCCAGGAGAUGACGGGCUGUACCCUGGAGACGAUGUAGGAGAAAACGCCAUCCCGCCCACAUACGGAGAAAACUGAGCAUCUGAAACAGGAGAUAACCGAAGAUUUGGGCUCAGCAUAUAAUUUGGUGACAUCAUGCCAUCAUGAUAUGGGGUCCCUGAGAUGGGUGAACGGCCAGGAGUCAUGCCAAACUCCAGUCCACCUUCCAUAUAACUGGGCAGAGGGAUCUCCAUAGCUUGUUUUAGCAUCUCUUCAUUCAUAUACAAAGCACAAUCACCUGUGCCAAUAGGUGCAAGCUGUCCUAACAUGAUAUUCUCAGUGACACCCCUGAGGUAAUCUGUUUCUGCAUACACAGCAGCAUCAAGAAGAAUGUCCACUGUUUCUUCAAAGGAGCAUCUCAUCAUGGGGCCAGUAUCAUUGCGAUUGAUACCAUGACGGGUGAUGGCCAUCAAGUGACCACGAUAUGUCAUGGUAUCACACAAUAUAGCCAAAUGUCUAUAGUUCACGUAAGACCCAUCAAAGAUAUACAACACGCAACUCAUCAGCAAGGCUUUGCGAACUGCCUCAAUGCCAAGAACUUCAAUAACUUCAAUCAAUGAUUGCUUGUUGUCCUACUUGCAUCUACAUCUUCAUGGCAAAUUACAGCUAAAAGAUUAACACCUUCUGUGUCAGCAUCCACUCAUUCUCAGCCUUGAAGCCUUCAUUUUCAUCAAACUUAUUUACCUUGCCAUUCUUUAUGAACACCUUAUUGAUAUCUGGUAUGCCUCGAAGAGCCAUUUCUGUAAGCAUGUUACCCUCAAUCUUUUUGAGGAAGACAUCAUCCUCAGCGAUUCAUCAUCACUCCUUAGGGUCUUCUCAUUCUAAUACGAAUACGAAGGAUAAGCUUUUCAGCAUUAUCAUCAUUAAAUGCAAGAUACAUCAAAUCAAUUAAUCUUAUGGAAAAUAUCAGCCAUGUUGAGUUUCUUAUCCACCAUCAUUUCUCUGUUUAACUCUAUGCGAAGCAACCACGGAGAGAUCUGUCGGGGUCAACAUCUCAUCUGGCAUCUCAAAGUAGGACGUCACAAUUCAAUAUCUUCCUCAAUAAUAGUGCUCUUAAGAUCUGGAUCGUACCAUACCUCUGUUGCUUGUGUUACACUCCGCAAGGUUGUAUACUCCAGAGCGCACUGGACAUUUUUGGCAUUCUCCUUAGUUUUUCUUACACCAGGCUUCAAGUAUACCGAGAGAGAGGGUGUUUUAAUAUUCUUAGCAACAUUAAUAAUCUCCCUCAACCUUGGAACACCUAAAGUAACAUUCUUGGCACUCACACCAGCAUAGUGAAAUGUAUUGAGGGUCAUCUGUGUAGCAGGUUCACCAAUGGAUUGUGCAGCAACACAUCCUAUCAUUUCUCCAGCAGCAACAAGUGACUGAAGAAAACGGGAUUCUAUCUCGC
rnacentral:lncRNA from 1 species